GACGAACGCUGGCGGCGUGCCUAAUACAUGCAAGUCGAACGCAGUGGGGACGGGUGAGUAACACGUGGGUAACCUCCCAUCAGAGGGGAUAACACUUGGAAACAGGUGCUAAACCGAUACUGAUGGAUGGACCCGCGGUGCAUUAGCUGGUUGGUGAGGUAACGGCUCACCAAGGCCAGGAUGCAUAGCCGACCGGAGAGGGUGAGCGGCCACACUGGGACGGAGACACGGCCCGAGCUCCUACGUGAGGCAGCAGUAUGGAAUCUUCAGCAAUGGACGAAAGUCUGACCGAUCAACGCCGCGUGAGUGAAGAAGGUUUGCUGAUCGUGUAACUCUGUUGUGAGAGGAGCGGUAUCUAACCAGAAAGCCGCGGCUAACUACGCUCCAGCAGCCGCGGUUAUUC
rnacentral:rRNA from 1 species